rnacentral:lncRNA from 1 species
UGGAAAUCAACUGUAUCUGGACUUAGGUUAACUCCACAUAUGAUCAUAGGAAAGCAAAUGCCAACUUGCGGGGCUUACAAUUGCAUCCUCUCAUAUAAACAAUGCAACAAGCAAAGAUAAGAUGAGUGGCCAAUGUGAUGGUCUUAUACUCACUUCCAUAUCAUAGGAGCAAAUGCCAAAGCAAUGGACUUACAAUUGUCCUCAAUGGGUAAACAACAAUGACAAUGUCACACAGACAAAAGAGAUGAUCAUGCAUUAAUGGCAAUUGAUGAU